rnacentral:rRNA from 1 species
CCUAUGGGGAGCUGCAGUGGGGAAUAUUGCACAAUGGGGGAAACCCUGAUGCAGCGACGCCGCGUGAGCGAUGAAGUAUUUCGGUAUGUAAAGCUCUAUCAGCAGGGAACAAAGACUGGGACGCGUCCCCGGAUGAGUGUACCUGAAGAAAAAGCAUCGGCUAACUCCGUGCCAGCAGCCGCGGUAAUACGGAGGAUGCGAGCGUUAUCCGGAUUUAUUGGGUUUAAAGGGUGCGCAGGCGGUCUGUUAAGUCAGCGGUCAAAGCCCGGGGCUCAACCCCGGCCCGCCGUUGAAACUGGCAGUCGCGAGGUGGAGAGAAGUAUGCGGAAUGCGCGGUGUAGCGGUGAAAUGCAUAGAUAUCGCGCAGAACUCGGAUUGCGAAGGCAGCAUGCCGGCUCCACACUGACGCUGAGGCACGAAAGCGUGGGUAUCGAACAGGAUUAGAUACCCCUGUAGUC